CCAUACCAGUGGCCCAUAAUUUUUCCCUCUGAAUCUGGAUUGUAGACAAUCAAGUUCCCAGCAUAUUUAUGCCCCCCAACAUGAGAGCAGGCACUAACAAACACCUGCUCCCUCAGCCCUCGAGAUUCAAUCCCCUCUUUGAGCGAGGUCCACAAACACCACAUCUCUUAUCACGACUACCAUGAGCACACACAAAGACAUAUGAACCAGUAAGCUUCUGCACUCCUGAAGCCCAUGGCCUUCCAUUCACAAGCACAUCAUCAACAAAACCAUCGACAUCCGAGUCCUUCAAACACUUGUAUUUGAUCAUAUCAGGAAAAAUCAACACAUCUCCGCGCUCAAACUCAGUCCCCUCGCGUUCCUCGCAAAUCGUUACCUUAGUCUUAAUGGUGAUAUCGUUCUUACGAGCUUUAACAGCAGAGGAAAAGAGCUUGGGAAGGAGAUCAGUCUCAGAGUCCUCAACGCGUGGAAGCCAUGAGUCAGGACCUCUGAAGCAGACGAAGACGUGUCGGUCGUACUGAUCCACAGUGCCGGCGAGGUUGCUCUUGUUCAUCUCCGGUCGAGUGAAUCCGAACUUCGCGUCCUCUUCAGCCAAGAUUGCCGUCGAAGCAUUCUCAGUAUCCGCCAUUGAAACAGGAGCUAGAAUUCGUACAGGUCUUCUUCUGAUUAGAGUUAGAGUUCGUGGUUUCUGCGAUGGAAGAAAGCGGAGAGAGAGAAAUCUAUUGGGAGACCAGAAGUGAGAAGGAUGAAGAGGGAGAGAUAAAAGAGAGCGGGAACGGUGCGCAAUGCGCAUCGAGGGGGGUGUCGUUUUUGGUUUUUUUUUUAAGUAGAAGCCACCGGCAUUCGAAGCCUACCGUAUUAAUCCGAACUUGCAUCGAGC
rnacentral:misc_RNA from 1 species